UUGGAGUUGUGCUCUGACCAACAGUUUCAAAAAUUAGUACUCCAGACUAGUGUAUAAGCUUCUUUCUGGGACAUACUGACAAACUAUAGUGAGGGGGAGGAAGGGCACAAUGAUGGUGUCCCUCUACCUAUGUUCUGUGUGAGUACCUCCAUAGCCUCUAAGAUGUGUGCCGAACCUGAAGCCUAUUCAUCAAUCUGAAGCAACAGGAAAAACUGGAGAGCACCACAAAGGGCCACUGACUGGUGAAUGAACAAAAGGUGGCCCAUCUGUACCAUGGAAUUCUACUCAGCAACAACAGGAGAGAAAUCUGAUUGAAGCUACAGCAUGGAGGACCCUGAAAAGCAUGCUAAGUGAAAGAAGCCAGUCACCAAAGACUACAUACUGUCUCAUUUGAUUUAUGUACAAUCUCCAGAAAGAAGCCAUGUAUAGAGACAGAAAGAUCAGCGUUGUUUGGGGCUGGAGGAGGGAGCGAAAACUGUCUGCAGAGGGGCUGGAGGAGGUGUGCGUAGGUGAAGGAGGCCUCUAAAACAAACGAGGGUCCUAGCUGAACAACUCUGUCAUUGUAGGAUACUUUUAUAAUGGGUGAAAUACUUGUAUGUAAAUUUCACUUAAAAAAAAAAAAGAGAAAGAAAGAAGGUGACAGUUUCCCAUUAGUGGAUUCUGGGGUCCCCAGGCAAACACUGCCUGGUGAGGUGCCACACAUCCUGGAGUCCCAGCAGGUGGUGAGUUAGAGCCUGGUUUCUGACCUCCCAGCUGGAGUCAGGGAUUCAGGGCCUGUGCCUUAGGCCUCUCGCCCUGGCAGUUCCCAUGGACUCCACAAGGGGGCAGACGACUUAAAGGAGGGGACCUCCAAGUGGCACAAGACAACUGAGGUUGCAGCAAGGACAGGGGGAACCAGCUGCUUGGAGAUAUGGGGAGGAAGUGAGGGCUGCAGAGCACAUGAGAGCAGCUGGCAAUAUCUGGAUGGGUUUUGUUGUUGUUUUUAAGGAUUUUAAAGGGAAGAGUCAGGGCCAUUCUGUUACUUGAACUCAGUCCAUAGAAGCCAGAGCUUUCACUGAGGCCACGUUGUACUUCCUGCCCUGGCUCCUAAGAUCUCUGGGCCUCGGUUCCUCAUGUGUAAGGUAAGAUUGGUAUUCACAUUCUCCCAAUUCCCUUCCUGCUCAGUUUCUGUGAGUGCAUGAGGAUCUGAGGUGCCCAUUAAGUAGCUCUGGGGACUGCAGCUGAGAUCUGACUCGGGCCCUUCUCUGUGUGUCCCCUGCGGGAGCCUGAGCUGAACCUAGACUGAAAACAGACUAUGGAGGGCGUAGAUGGAAGAUAGAACAGCAGCAGGCUUGGGGGAUGAGAAUAACCCAAAGAAGGAUAAGGCAAUGGUGGAGCAAGUGGUUGCCAAUGGAGGUAAUAACAGGGACAAGUUGAGUUCAGAAAAGUCAGGGGAAACUGAGGAAUGCAUACAGCAGCAGCCAUCUCUGUAAGGACCAGCCUGACCUGACCAGUGAGGACUAGGGAGUAACUUAGUCCACAAGAACCUGUGCGCUGCUAAGGAGCCCCAUAUGAUGGAUCAGAAUUUGAUUGUACUGCUGGGAAGCACCAGUUCCAGGAGAAGAAGGAUGUGACCACGAGGCUCUGCCAGAGAACCCUAGCUUCGACCUUGGAGCUGCCCUCACGGUGGCUGUUUUCAAAGAGGAGACCUCCCCACAAAAUGAAUAAUGCAGAGAGAGCAGACCACAAGGACCUCAGGCUGAAGGACAUUGAAAGUGAGAAGAGACUCAAAUGCUCACUUCUCUGCAGAGGUGAAAAGGAUGAAGUCAUAGAUUUUUGGGUCAAGAUGGUGUCCCAGUGGCAUCUUAGUCCUGUGCUCUCCUGGGAUGGAAGGCUUGUGGUUUAGAAGCUCCCAGGUCUCCAUGGCUUCAUUGGACAAAUCAGUGCAUUGUUGAGCAGGUUUGGAGGUCUUGUAAUGUGACGCCUGCUGGAAAGCCCUGUGUUUGAAUGCCCUGUACGCUGGGGAGAAGGAAGGAUCUGUGUCCCAGGAAACAUGCUGAACUCACUGUCCAGGGGCCUUCUUGGCCUAGUGCAGAGCUGCUUUGUUGGUCUCCAGGUCCAAGGGCACCUGGCAUACUGUCAACCUUCCUGCUUAGCCCAUUAGGCAACACUGUUGUUCUCCAGGUCCAAGGACACAUGGGAAGCCUGUUUCCAAGGUGGUCACUCAAGCAGAGAGCUGAGUUGCUGGUCUCCGGGUCCAACGGCACAUGAGUGCAGAAUUGUAAUUCAGGAUGUCAGUGGAAGAGCAGAGUAAGAUCGUAUCAUCUCAACAACCUAAUGUAAACAGAAACAGGACCUGAUGCUUAUGGAUUGAUGGGAGUGGACACCUACAUCAUAUUUAGAGUAUGAGCAAUUGUCUCCUAAGGCAGCUGAGUCACACAACUCAGUCACACACAGCCCUCAGCCUGCCAUUAUUAUUUGUUUACAUGCUGCUGGUGUCAUUUUAUAUUAGACCACAGCAGAAAUGAGAGAAAUCAGAUUAGGGCACAAACUCAUGGCAUUUGAUGGAUGUAUCAUUGCAUACUGUUCCAGAGUUUCUGGCAGUACAUUAUAAUGGCAAUACAUUAUGGAGGACUCAAUUAAAUAAGAGAGAACAUCAUCCUCUAUAUUUUAUAACUGGUGUUAUCGCUAAAUGCAAGAUAAAUUGGCAGCCUUGCCAAUUGAAUGGUUACUCUCAAGGAAAGUUUGUUGAUGGACAUACAAAAUAUUUCACAUACAUUGGUCCACAAACUGUACAAUCUUCCCAGCCAUACGACUGGAUUUGGGUUGGAUUAUUCCUUUUCCUUGGACUGCUGAAAAAAGUGCAAGGGAAUGGAAUCAGAUCCUUCUCACCUGACAAAUACCUAAAUCUCCAAAGAUAUGUUCACUGCCAGAUGGAGCUCCAAUCUGAAAUGUGUUUGCUUGCAUCAAGAUCCAACAUCACUAUAUAAAACUCAGGUGUGAUUUAUUUGAUCACAAUGGCUAACUGAAACGUGAAAAGUGGUAUCAUUUGUAAUAGCGUGAAUCUUGAAAUUCUGAGGGAUAGAUCUGACUGAAAAUCACAAUCUGUUUCACAGAGAAAUAAAUGAAGCCUUAGAAAAUGAAGAGAAGUUCCAUAUUCCGGGGUGACAAGAUUCAAUACUGUUCAACAUCAACUUUCCGCCACUGGACCUCAGCCUGUAUCUUUGGGAGAAAGUGACCAGUUGACUUGAAAAUUUAUAUAAAAGUAUAAAUAACCUUGUAUGGCCAAACACUUGAGAAACAAAGGACCAUCUUUGACGGUUAGCUGCACCUGAUGUGAAGAACUAUUUUGCAGUUAUCAUAAUCAAAACAAACUGGUAUCGUUUCACACAUUAGAAUCACUUGAGAGUUGUUUAAACACUGCAUGGAAAUUUGGAAACAUUUUCCAUGUUUCAGAGUAGGAUGUGAAUUGAACUUGUAUAUACACAUCACCCAGUUUAAACAAUGAUCAAAUUGUGAACAAAUUUAUAUCCUCUAUACCCCAAGCCACUCUCUACCUCCCCAACUAUUUUGAAAAAAUUCCAGACACCU